rnacentral:rRNA from 1 species
UACGUAGGGGGCUAGCGUUGUCCGGAAUCAUUGGGCGUAAAGCGCGCGUAGGCGGUCAGGUAAGUCCGGUGUGAAAGUCAAAGGCUCAACCUUUGAAUGCCGCUGGAUACUGCCUGACUUGAGUCCGGAAGGGGCGAGUGGAAUUCCUGGUGUAGCGGUGAAAUGCGCAGAUAUCAGGAAGAACACCUAUGGCGAAGGCAGCUCUCUGGGACGGUACUGACGCUGAGUGAGCGAAAGCCAGGGGAGCAAACGGG